CUUCACGUUCGCUCACCGGCGCAGCGAACAUNNNUUCUCUUCGCGCGGCGCCUCCGCCUGCCGCGCAGCCGCCGCUCGGCUCCCUCCUCCCAGCAACGCCUCCGCCUCAUCCCGCGCGAGCUACCAGCGGGCACGCCCCGUGCCGCGGCCGACCCCUCCGCCUCGACCGCCGUCGAUGUGGCCCCCGCGGCGGAGGAGGGGGCCGGCGCGACCGUGCUGCUCGACGUCAGCGGCAUGAUGUGCGGCGGCUGCGCGGCGCGGGUGCGGUCGAUCCUCGCCGCGGACGCGCGGGUGGAGAGCGCGGCGGUCAACCUCCUCGCCGAGUCGGCCGCCGUGCGGCUGCGGUCGCCGGCGCCGGGCGCCGGGGAGGAGCUGGCGGAGAGGCUGACGGCGUGCGGGUUCCCGUCCGCGGAGCGGCGAGGGGGCGCGACCGCGGGGGCAGCGGAGAGCGCGCUCAAGUGGAGGGAGAUGGCCGCCCGGAAGUCGGAGCUCCUCACCCGGAGCCGUGGGCGCGUCGCCUUUGCGUGGACGCUCGUCGCGCUCUGCUGCGGCUCGCACGCGUCCCAUCUCCUCCACUCGAUCGGCAUCCACAUCGGCCAUGGAACAUUUUUGGAUGUGUUGCAUAACUCGUAUGUGAAAUGUGGCAUCGCUGUGGUGGCGCUGUUUGGGCCUGGAAGAGAUAUACUUUUCGAUGGUCUAAGAGCGUUCAAGCAAGGCUCCCCCAACAUGAAUUCUCUUGUAGGAUUCGGGUCUGCAGCUGCAUUUGCUAUUAGUGCAGUUUCCUUGCUGAACCCUGAAUUGGCAUGGAAUUCAACCUUCUUCGAUGAACCGGUCAUGCUUCUUGGAUUUGUACUUCUGGGACGAUCUCUCGAGGAAAGUGCUAGGCUUAAGGCAUCUAGCGAUAUGAAUGAGCUCAUUUCACUCUUGUCUCCUCAGUCGAGGCUAGUCGUUACGUCCUCAAGUGACGACCUUCCUUCAGAUGGCAUUUUGAAUUCGGAUGCAAUAACAGUUGAAGUUCCUGUCAAUGAUGUCCGUGUUGGAGACUCAGUAUUGGUUCUUCCAGGAGAAACUAUCCCUGUAGAUGGAAAUGUCACUGGAGGAUCAAGUUUUGUGGAUGAAUCAAUGCUUACUGGAGAAUCCUUGCCGGUAGCAAAAGAAAAAGGAUGCCCUGUAUUUUCUGGAACUGUUAAUUGGGAUGGACCUUUAAGGAUCAAAGCCACAACCACUGGACCGUCGUCAACAAUUGCUAAGAUAAUCCGCAUGGUUGAGGAUGCACAAGCACAUGAAGCUCCUGUACAAAGGCUCGCGGAUGCGAUUGCAGGGCCAUUUGUGUAUACUGUUAUGACAUUGUCUGCAGCAACCUUUUCUUUCUGGUACUUAUUGGGCACACACCUAUUUCCGGAGGUCCUUCUAAAUGAUAUUUCUGGUCCUGAUGGGGACUCAUUGCUUUUGAGCUUGAAGCUUGCUGUGGAUGUACUAGUUGUUUCCUGUCCGUGUGCACUUGGAUUAGCUACGCCUACAGCUAUCUUAAUAGGAACUUCCAUGGGCGCUAAAAGAGGGCUACUUAUUAGAGGAGGUGAUGUUUUGGAGCGUUUGGCUGGGAUAGAUGCAAUUGUUCUGGAUAAGACAGGGACGCUUACGAAAGGAAAACCAGUUGUUACUUCUAUUGCUUCUUUAGCAUAUGACGAGAUGGAGAUUCUUCGUCUUGCUGCUGCAGUGGAGAGAACAGCAUUGCAUCCUAUUGCGAAUGCUAUAACGAAGGAGGCUGAACUGUGCAAACUGGAUAUUCCAACGACAAGUGGGCAGCUUACACAGCCUGGCUUUGGCUGUUUAGCUGAAGUAGAUGGGCGUUUGGUUGCAGUGGGUAAUUUGGACUGGGUCCACGAUCGUUUUGAAACCAAGGCGUCACCGACUGAACUGAGUGAUCUUGGAAAGCGUCUAGAGUUUGUGCCUUCUAGUGAAGCAUCAUCUUCGAAUCAGUCAAAAUCAAUUGCUUAUAUUGGUCGUGAAGGAGAAGGAAUAAUAGGUGCUAUUGCUAUCUCAGAUGUUCUGCGUGAUGAUGCAAAAUCAACUGUGGACAGGCUACAGCAGGAAGGAAUUGCAACCUAUAUAUUGUCAGGAGACAGGAAAGAGGCAGUGGAAGGCAUUGGGGAAACUGUUGGAAUCAGGAGUGAAAACAGAAGGUCAUCCCUCACCCCACAGGAAAAGGCAGGCAUUAUAUCAACUUUGCAAGGGGAGGGGCAUAGAGUUGCCAUGGUUGGCGAUGGAAUAAACGAUGCACCAUCUUUGGCAGCUGCUGAUGUCGGAAUAGCUAUGCGGACUCACUCGAAAGAGAAUGCCGCCUCUGAUGCAGCUUCAGUGGUUCUAUUAGGGAACAGGCUUUCGCAGGUUGUAGAUGCCCUAUCCCUGUCUAAAGCAACCAUGGCAAAAGUGCACCAGAACUUGGCCUGGGCGGUGGCAUACAACAUAGUGGCCAUCCCCGUCGCGGCUGGAGCGCUACUGCCUCAAUUCGAUUUCGCCAUGACACCCUCUCUUUCAGGAGGACUGAUGGCCCUGAGCUCCAUCUUUGUCGUCAGCAAUUCUUUGCUCCUGCAGCUGCAUGGAUCGUUUCAGAAGGCGGAAAGACCCGGACCGGAUGACCUGAAGUCUAGACCGAAGUCUCAGAUAUUAUAG
rnacentral:rRNA from 1 species